CUGUCACCGAUCUGAACCCUGUAGAUCCGAGUUUGAUUAAUGCCAAUGUUGAGUUUUGAAGCAUUUCAAUCAAAAUCGAAUCUUCAAGGUGAAGCUGGUGAUAG
rnacentral:pre_miRNA from 1 species